AAUAAGUGCAGUUUUGCGUUGUUUAUGUCCAACAUUUGACCGUUCGUCUUAUUUGAAAUUUUCUUAUGAUCAGUAUUUUUAUUAUUAUUAGAUGAUAAAACAUGAAUUGUACUUUAUGUGUGACUAAUUUUUUUUAUUUUUUCAUAAAAUUUUCAAAUAAGACGGAUGGUCAAACAUUGGAUACGGAUAACCACUGCUGCACUUAUU
rfam:Oryza punctata chromosome 1, whole genome shotgun sequence.